GACGAACGCUGGCGGCGUGCCUAAUACAUGCAAGUUGAGCGCUGAAGGUUGGUACUUGUACCAACUGGAUGAGCAGCGAACGGGUGAGUAACGCGUGGGGAAUCUGCCUUUGAGCGGGGGACAACAUUUGGAAACGAAUGCUAAUACCGCAUAAAAACUUUAAACACAAGUUUUAAGUUUGAAAGAUGCAAUUGCAUCACUCAAAGAUGAUCCCGCGUUGUAUUAGCUAGUUGGUGAGGUAAAGGCUCACCAAGGCGAUGAUACAUAGCCGACCUGAGAGGGUGAUCGGCCACAUUGGGACUGAGACACGGCCCAAACUCCUACGGGAGGCAGCAGUAGGGAAUCUUCGGCAAUGGACGAAAGUCUGACCGAGCAACGCCGCGUGAGUGAAGAAGGCUUUCGGAUCGUAAAACUCUGUUGGUAGAGAAGAACGUUGGUGAGAGUGGAAAGCUCAUCAAGUGACGGUAACUACCCAGAAAGGGACGGCUAACUACGU
rnacentral:rRNA from 1 species